UGGCAUUUUUUGCUAUGGCAAGUUCAAAAAAUGGGAUCAGUUGGGAGGUCAAUUGAUGUUGCAAGUUUUAAGAAUUAUGAAGAAUUAUGCUAGGCAAUUGAAUGCAUGUUUGGAGUUAAAGGUGUGCUCAACGACGAGAAAGGCUCGGGUUGGAAAAUGGUGUAUGUGGAUUAUGAGAAUGAUGUACUUCUUGUUGGGGAUGAUCCCUGGAAACCAUUGAGAUUCUUUUCAGCAAAAAGAUAUUAUUGAACAUGGAGGGCCAUACUCCAAUCUUCUGUGUUGGUGUUUUGGAUUCUCUGGCAGUGGAAUUGAAGGCGACAAAGGAUUUCUCCAAGUUAUAUGUUGGCAUUGCAAUACUUGGGUAUAUUGCUUCCAUUCCAGAAUCCGUCAACACCCGAGCCUUUUCUCAUCUUCUCACUUUCAUGGGCCAUAGAUAU